CUGUGGUUAAUGGUCAGAGCCCAGGUCUGACAGAACCUGUGGUUAACGGUCAGAGCCCAGGUCUGACAGAACCUGUGGUUAACGGUCAGAGCCCAGGUCUGACAGAACCUGUGGUUAACGGUCAGAGCCCAGGUCUGACAGAACCUGUGGUUAACGGUCAGAGCCCAGGUCUGACAGAACCUGUGGUUAAUGGUCAGAGCCCGGGUCUGACAGAACCUGUGGUUAAUGGUCA